GAUGAACGCUAGCUGUGUGCCUAAUACAUGCAUGUCGAGCGAAGCACUUUUGUGCUUAGCGGCGAAUGGGUGAGUAACACGUACUUAACCUACCCUCAAGAUUGGGACAACACUUGGAAACGAGUGCUAAUACCAAAUACGUAUUUUUAUCGCAUGAUAGAUAUAUAAAAGGAGCUUCGGCUUCACUAGAGGAUGGGAGUGCGCUACAUUAGUUAGUUGGUAGGGUAAUGGCCUACCAAGACUAUGAUGUAUAGCGGGGCCGAGAGGCUGAUCCGCCACACUGGGACUGAGAUACGGCCCAGACUCCUACGGGAGGCAGCAGUAGGGAAUUUUCCACAAUGAACGAAAGUUUGAUGGAGCGACACAGCGUGCAGGAUGAAGGUCUUCGGAUUGUAAACUGCUGUUAUAAGAGAAGAAAAACCCUGGUAGGUAAUGACCAGGACUUGACGGUACCUUAUCAGAAAGCGACGGCUAACUAUGUGCCAGCAGCCGCGGUAAUACAUAGGUCGCAAGCGUUAUCCGGAAUUAUUGGGCGUAAAGAGUUCGUAGGUGGUUUUGUAAGUCUGAAGUUAAAUACCGGGGCUCAACCCCGGCCCGCUUUGGAUACUGCAAAACUAGAGUAAUAGAGAGGUUAGUGGAACUCCAAGUGAAGCGGUGGAAUGCGUAGAUAUUUGGAAGAACACCAAUGGCGAAGGCAACUAACUGGAUAUUAACUGACACUGAGGAACGAAAGCGUGGGUAGCAAACAGG
rnacentral:rRNA from 1 species